UCUUGAAAUGUUUUUUCAAGCAUAAUAGAUUAGCACAUUAUUUUCAGAAUAACGGAAGACGGUGUGAAUCCGUCGCGGUCCCGCCGCUGUAACCGGGGAUCUCCUGAGCAUAAGGCCGAAAGGCCGGUCACUGGAAGUUGAAAACUUUUCGGGAAGACAGUUCGGGAGGGGUGAUCCGGAAGCCAGAAGACGAACUGGAAAUAACACUGGAAU
rnacentral:ncRNA from 2 species